GUGAAGUUUUCAAGAACUCUCUCUCUCUCUCUCUCUCUCUCUGUGUGUGUGUGUGUGUGUGAGAGAGAGAGAGAGAGAGAGAGAGAGACUCAGCAAUUCUG